CUUCAGUGGUAACAAGUUCAGCCACUGAUAAGCUAUGCUUCGUUCCUUGUCUCUAAGCUGACUUUGUGUAUGUUCCUUCGCAGGCAGAAACCUGAACCUUUUGAUUAUCUUCGUUGAACACUGACUUCGGUUCCAGAAGUUUCUGGACGAUCAAGAUUACUUAUGUUUGGUGGAUUUCGUUUGGAUUUCGUUUCCAAGGACCAAGCUGGCAGCUUCCUGUUUUCCUCCGUCUCCUGAACCAAGGCAUAAGCGUACCCGGUCCACCCUCCAACGCAAGUACCUGAACGUUGAACUAAGUCCUGAACUCACCAGAACUCAUUCUGCAGUACAACUAAAAUCAUCUGGAUUUCUCCUCUUCGCACACCUGGACCCCGACUCCCUUUACCCCUGACGACCUGACUGCACUUGUUUAUUGGCGAUGUACCCGUUCACGUUCCAGACUCAUUUGCUGUAAAUAAACACCUUUCACUGAU